rnacentral:rRNA from 1 species
GGACCCGCACAAGCGGUGGAGCAUGUGGUUUAAUUCGAUGCAACGCGAAAAACCUUACCUACUCUUGACAUACUUGGAAGCUCUUGUAAUGAGAGUGUACCUUUUGGAACCAAGAUACAGGUGCUGCAUGGCUGUCGUCAGCUCGUGUCGUGAGAUGUUCCGUUAAGUCGGAUAACGAGCGCAACCCUUACCCUUAUUUGCCAGCGAUUCGGUCGGGAACUAUAAGGGGACUGCCGGUGAUAAACCGGAGGAAGGUGAGGACGACGUCAAGUCAUCAUGGCCCUUACGAGUAGGGCUACACACGUGCUACAAUGGGGAAUACAGACGGACGCUAAGCCGCGAGGUGGUGCUAAUCCUAGAAAGUUUCUCGUAGUCCGGAUUGGAGUCUGCAACUCGACGGCAUGAAGUCGGAAUCGCUAGUAAUCG